rnacentral:rRNA from 1 species
AUUGAACGCUGGCGGCAUGCCUUACACAUGCAAGUCGAACGGCAGCACGGGUGCUUGCUCCUGGUGGCGAGUGGCGAACGGGUGAGUAAUACAUCGGAACAUGUCCUGUAGUGGGGGAUAGCCCGGCGAAAGCCGGAUUAAUACCGCAUACGAUCUACGGAUGAAAGCGGGGGACCUUCGGGCCUCGCGCUAUCGGGUUGGCCGAUGGCUGAUUAGCUAGUUGGUGGGGUAAAGGCCUACCAAGGCGACGAUCAGUAGCUGGUCUGAGAGGACGACCAGCCACACUGGGACUGAGACACGGCCCAGACUCCUACGGGAGGCAGCAGUGGGGAAUUUUGGACAAUGGGCGAAAGCCUGAUCCAGCAAUGCCGCGUGUGUGAAGAAGGCCUUCGGGUUGUAAAGCACUUUUGUCCGGAAAGAAAUCCUUGGCCCUAAUACGGUCGGGGGAUGACGGUACCGGAAGAAUAAGCACCGGCUAACUACGUG